CCUACGGGAGGCAGCAGUGGGGAAUAUUGGGCAAUGGGCGCAAGCCUGACCCAGCAACGCCGCGUGAAGGAAGAAGGCUUUCGGGUUGUAAACUUCUUUUCUCAGGGACGAUGAAAGUGACGGUACCUGAGUAAUAAGCCACGGCUAACUACGUGCCAGCAGCCGCGGUAAUACGUAGGUGGCAAGCGUUAUCCGGAUUUACUGGGUGUAAAGGGCGUGUAGGCGGGACUGCAAGUCAGAUGUGAAAACCACGGGCUCAACCUGUGGCCUGCAGUUGAAACUGUAGUUCUUGAGUACUGGAGAGGCAGACGGAAUUCCUAGUGUAGCGGUGAAAUGCGUAGAGAUUAGGAGGAACACCAGUGGCGAAGGCGAUCUGCUGGAAAGCAACUGACGCUGAGGCGCGAAAGCGUGGGGAGCAAACAGGAUUAGAUACCCUUGUAGUC
rnacentral:rRNA from 1 species